rnacentral:rRNA from 1 species
AGAGGGUGCAAGCGUUAAUCGGAAUUACUGGGCGUAAAGCGCGCGUAGGUGGUUCGUUAAGUUGGAUGUGAAAGCCCCGGGCUCAACCUGGGAACUGCAUUCAAAACUGUCGAGCUAGAGUAUGGUAGAGGGUGGUGGAAUUUCCUGUGUAGCGGUGAAAUGCGUAGAUAUAGGAAGGAACACCAGUGGCGAAGGCGACCACCUGGACUGAUACUGACACUGAGGUGCGAAAGCGUGGGGAGCAAACAGGAUUAGAUACCCUGUAGUCCACGCCGUAAACGAUGUCAACUAGCCGUUGGGAGCCUUGAGCUCUUAGUGGCGCASUAACGCAUUAAGUUGACCGCCUGGGGAGUACGGCCGCAAGGUUA